rnacentral:rRNA from 1 species
GCCAAACAGCUAGCUUAUCCACCAAAAUUAACCAAACAAUAUAAAUAAUACAAAAUAGACAAAACACCAAAAACUAAACCAUUCUUUUACCUGAGUAUGGGAGACAGAAAAGGUCCCACAAAGCAAUAGAAAUAGUACCGCAAGGGAAAGCUGAAAGAGAAAUGAAACAACCCAUAUAAGCACAAAAAAGCAAAGAUUAAACCUUGUACCUUUUGCAUCAUGAUUUAGCCAGUAAACUCAAGCAAAGAGACCUUUAGUUUGAAAUCCCGAAACCAGGUGAGCUACCCCGAGACAGCCUAUUAAGGGCCAACCCGUCUCUGUGGCAAAAGAGUGGGAAGAGCUCCGGGUAGAAGUGACAGACCUACCGAACCUGGUGAUAGCUGGUUGCCUAAGAAACGAAUAGAAGUUCAGCCUCGUACACCUCAAAUCAAACAAACAUUAAAUAAGACACCCAGAGAAAUACACGAGAGUUAGUUAAAGGGGGUACAGCCCCUUUAACAAAGGACACAACCUUGUCAGGAGGAUAAAGAUCACAAUAUACAAAACAUACUGUUCUAGUGGGCCUAAAAGCAGCCAUCUAAACAGAAAGCGUUAAAGCUCAGACAGAAAAAAGUUUAUUAUUCUGAUAAACAAUCUUACUCCCCUACAUUCUAUUAGGCUAAUCCAUGCCCCCAUGGAAGUAAUUAUGCUAAAAUGAGUAACAAGAAGGCCCGCCCUUCUCCUAGCACAAGUGUAAGCCAAACCGGACAAACCAUUGGCAAUUAACGAACUCAACCCAAGAGAGCAAUGUGAACCAUAAAAAAAUCAAGAAAAAUCCACAGCCCAGUAAUCGUUAACCCCACACUGGAGUGCUAUUUAUAAAGGAAAGACUAAAAGAAAAGGAAGGAACUCGGCAAACACAAGCCUCGCCUGUUUACCAAAAACAUCGCCUCCUGCAACACAACCAUGUACUGGAUUCUGCUCCCGAAGGCUGUCGCCUGUCUACGAGUCUACCCCGAGACGCCUCUUCUGUCCGUGAAUCUGCGCCCCUACCCCUUGCCUGACAAAUAGAGACCUGUAUGAAUGGCUAAACGAGGGCUUAACUGUCUCCCCUUUCCAGUCAGUGAAAUUGAUCUACCCGUGCAGAAGCGGGUAUAAUAAUACAAGACGAGAAGACCCUUUGGAGCUUAAGGUACAAAACUCAACCACGUCAAGCAACUCAAUAAAAAGCAAAAACUUUGUGAAACAUGAGAUUUUACCUUCGGUUGGGGCGACCACGGAGGAAAACAAAGCCUCCAAGUGGACUGGGAAAACCUCCUAAAACCAAGAGAGACAUCUCUAAGCCACAGAACAUCUGACCAAACAUGAUCCGGCCACCCAAAGCCGAUCAACGAACCAAGUUACCCUAGGGAUAACAGCGCAAUCCUCUCCCAGAGUCCAUAUCGACGAGAGGGUUUACGACCUCGAUGUUGGAUCAGGACAUCCUAAUGGUGCAGCCGCUAUUAAGGGUUCGUUUGUUCAACGAUUAAAGUCCUACGUGAUCUGAGUUCAGACCGGAGCAAUCCAGGUCAGUUUCUAUCUGUAACGCUACUUUUCCUAGUACGAAAGGAUCGGAAAAGAGGGGCCCAUACUUCAAGCACGCCCCACCCCUAAUUUAUGAAAACAAAUAAAUAAAGCAAAGGGAGAGCCAAAAUCCCAGCUAGCCAAAAUAAGGACA